CGCCUGUUUAACAAAAACAUGUCUUUUUGAUAAUAAUUUAAAGUCGAUCCUGCUCUAUGAUUUAUUAAAUGGCCGCGGUAUAUUGACCGUGCAAAGGUAGCAUAAUCAUUAGUUUUUUAAUUGUGAACUGGAAUGAAUGGUUUGACGAGAAAUUAUCUGUCUCUAAUUGUUUUAUUGAAUUUUAUUUUUAAGUUAUAAAGCUUAAAUUUUUUUAGAAGACGAGAAGACCCUAUAGAGUUUAAUAUAUUUGUUUAUUUAUUAUUUAUUUUAAAUUAAUAUUUUUAUUUUAUUGGGGUGAUAGAAAAAUUACUAUAACUUUUUCUUUUUUUUAAUAUUUUUAAAUAUUUUUUUGAUCCAUAUUUUUUGAUUAAAAGAUUAAAUUACCUUAGGGAUAACAGCGUUAUUAAUUUUGAGAGUUCAAAUCGAAAAAUUAGUUUGCGACCUCGAUGUUGGAUUAA
rnacentral:rRNA from 1 species